GCAACUCGAGUGCAUGAAGCUGGAAUCGCUAGUAAUCGCGGAUCAGAAUGCCGCGAUGAAUACGUUCCCGGGUCUUGUACACACCGCCCGUCACACCAUGGGAGUCGGGAAUGCCCGAAGCCGGUGGCCCAAUCGAAAGAAGGGAGCCGUCGAAGGCAGGCCGGAUGACUGGGGUGAAGUCGUAACAAGGUAUC
rnacentral:rRNA from 1 species